rnacentral:lncRNA from 1 species
AUGGUAUGGGCCCCAUGGUGGAGAUGUGGGGUUAUGGUAUGGGCCCCAUGGUGGAGAUGUGGGGUUAUGGUAUGGGCCCCAUGGUGGAGAUGUGGGGUUAUGGUAUGGGCCCCAUGGUGGAGGUGGGGUUAUGGUAUGGGCCCCAUGGUGGAGGUGGGGUUAUGGUAUGGGCCCCAUGGUGGCAGUGGGGUUAGGGUGUGGUAUGGGCCCCAUGGUGGAGGUGGGGUUUAUGGUAUGGGCCCCAUGGUGGAGGUGGGGUUAUGGUAUGGGCCCCAUGGUGGAGGUGGGGUUAUGGUAUGGGCCCCAUGGUGGAGAUGUGGGGUUAUGGUAUGGGCCCCAUGGUGGAGAUGUGGGGUUUGUGGUAUGGGCCCCAUGGUGGAGAUGUGGGGUUAUGGUGUUUGUGGUAUGGGCCCCAUGGUGGAGAUGGGGUUAUGGUAUGGGCCCCAUGGUGGAGGUGUGGGGUUAUGGUAUGGGCCCCAUGGUGGAGGUGGGGAUAUGGUAUGGGCCCCAUGGUGGAGCAACACUAUGUCAACUAAACAGGAUCUGAUUGGAUCGAGCCCUGGGUUUUUCUGAUUUAAAAACUAAAAUAAUUGUGUGACUUCCAGCUGUUUUUAAAUCGACAUGCACCACAGCAGGUAAUUGUUCCAUCUGUUUUCUAUGUAAAUAUCAACCCCCCACAAAAUAAGUUACUGGAAGUGUAGCUACUGAUGGUCAGAUCACUGGACAAGUUACUG